rnacentral:rRNA from 1 species
UUGAACGCUGGCGGCAGGCCUAACACAUGCAAGUCGAACGGUAACAGGAAACAGCUUGCUGUUUCGCUGACGAGUGGCGGACGGGUGAGUAAUGUCUGGGAAACUGCCUGAUGGAGGGGGAUAACUACUGGAAACGGUAGCUAAUACCGCAUAACGUCGCAAGACCAAAGAGGGGGACCUUAGGGCCUCUUGCCAUCGGAUGUGCCCAGGUGGGAUUAGCUAGUAGGUGGGGUAACGGCUCACCUAGGCGACGAUCCCUAGCUGGUCUGAGAGGAUGACCAGCCACACGGGAACUGAGACACGGUCCAGAGGCCUACGAGAGGCAGCAGUGGGGAAUAUGGCACAAUGGGGGCAAGCCUGAUGCAGCCAUGCCGCGUGUAUGAAGAAGGCCUUCGGGUUGUAAAGUACUUUCAGCGGGGAUGAAGGGAGUAAAGUUAAUACCUUUGCUCAUUGACGUUACCCGCAGAAGAAGCACCGACUAACUCCGUG